CCUACGGGAGGCUGCAGUGAGGAAUAUUGGUCAAUGGGCUUACGCCUGAACCAGCCAAGUCGCGUGCGGGAAGACUGCCCUAUGGGUUGUAAACCUCUUUUGUCAGGGAGCAAUUGGCGCUACGUGUAGCCUUCUCGAGAGUCCCUGAAGACAAAGCCUCGGCAAACUCCUUGCCAGCAGCCGCGGUAAUACGGAGGAUGCGAGCGUUAUCCGGAUUUAUUGGGUUUAAGGGGUGCGUAGGCGGAAUGCCAAGUCAGCGGUAAAUGCGCGGGGCUCAACCUCGAUCCGCCGUUGAAACUGGCGUUCUUGAGUGGGCGAGAAGUAGGCGGAAUGCGUGGUGUAGCGGUGAAAUGCAUAGAUAUCACGCAGAACUCCGAUUGCGAAGGCAGCAUACCGGCGCCCAACUGACGCUGAAGCACGAAAGCGUGGGUAUCGAACAGGAUUAGAUACCCCUGUAGUC
rnacentral:rRNA from 1 species